UUAUGGCCAUACCAGAUUGAAACACUGGUUCUUGUAUGAUCACUGAAGUUAAGCAACACUCAGCCUGUCAGUACUUAGAUGGGUGACUGUUUGGGAAUGCCAGGUGCUAUA